UGUCUAAAUCAUAGUGUUAAUUCACUGAAUCCCAUUAGAACUUUGUAGUUAAGCACGCUCAGGAUAGAGUAGUACUGGGAUGGGUGACUUCCCAAGAAGUCCUGGUAUUUUUCAUUC
rfam:Picea glauca, whole genome shotgun sequence.